AGCAGCCGCGGUAAUUCCAGCUCCAAUAGCGUAUAUUAAAGUUGUUGCAGUUAAAAAGCUCGUAGUUGAACCUCGGGGUCUACCCAUUGGUCAGGCUUAAUUGUCUGCACUGGUGAGAUGGAUCUCUACCUUCUGAGGAACUUUCAUGCCAUUUAUUUGGUGUGAUGGGAAAUCAGGACUGUUACUUUGAAAAAUUAGAGUGUUUAAAGCAGACUAUCGUCUGAAUACAUUAGCAUGGAAUAAUGAAAUAGGACGGACUGAUUCUAUUUCGUUGGUUUCUAGGAUCACCGUAAUGAUUAAUAGGGAUAGUUGGGGGCAUUAGUAUUCAAUUGUCAGAGGUGAAAUUCUUGGAUUUAUUGAAGACUAACUACUGCGAAAGCAUUUGCCAAGGAUGUUUUCAUUAAUCAAGAACGAAAGUUAGGGGAUCGAAGACGAUCAGAUACCGUCGUA
rnacentral:rRNA from 1 species